GGGCCAGCCCCCCGGGAAACCCUUUAAAUUUGGGUUCCCGGGGGAAGUUUGGUUCCAAAAGCUGAACUUAAAGGGAAUUGGACGGAAGGGCACCACCAAGGAGUGGAGCCUGCGGCUUAAUUUGACUCAACACGGGGAAACUCACCCGGCCCCGGACACUGUAAGGAUUGACAGAUUUGAUAGCUCUUUCUUGAUUCGGUGGGUGGUGGUGCAUGGCCGUUCUUAGUUGGUGGAGCGAUUUGUCUGGUUUAUUCCGAUAACGAACGAGACUCUAGCCUACUAAAUAGACAACACUUUCUUUGAGUGUUGCGCUUCUUAGAGGGACAAGCGACGUUUAGUUCGCACGAGAUUGAGCAAUAACAGGUCUGUGAUGGCCCUUAGAUGUUCGGGGCUGCACGCGCGCUACACUGAAAGCAUCAACAUGCAUAUCAACCUAACCUCGGAAGAGGCGGGUAACCCUUUGAAACGCUUUCGUGAUUUGGGAUUGUGAAUUGCAAUUAUUUCACAUGAAACGAAGGGAAUUCCCAGUAAGUCCGAGUCAUCAGCUCGGGUUG
rnacentral:rRNA from 1 species